UUAUCAUCUCACAUCAUCACAGGAAAAAAGUUUGUGUAAAAUACUAUAGCAAACAUAGGAAGCUAUUACAGUUUUCAAGACUGUCUCCUCUAUGAUUUCCAGCAGACCAGACCAAAUAAACAUCGUUGGAGUUCGUACUUUGGGAGUAGGUUUCUGCAGACCUUCAGGGAAUGUUGUCGAAAUUCUACGACUACGCAGCAGAGACUCUGAACACAGGAACUUGUGAGACUUCUCCAAAGAAGAGUUCACUUAAUAUGUCUAUAAUAAGGGGUGUCCAUGCCAGUUGCCCAAAAGAGGACUGCUGCUGUCAGUGAGAAAGACGUGAUCAGUUCCUCAGAGAUUGUGUCAAAGAAAAAGUGUGCUCUUACUAUUCUGCAAGAAUUGUUGCCUUGAGAUGCUUUUCAAAGAAAUUCCCAAGAAAGGAAAAUUACAGCUUUUGUCCUCAAGGUGAUAAAGACCUGCUUUCCCGCCUGAACCCUGGC